rnacentral:rRNA from 1 species
UAGGGAAUCUUCCACAAUGGGCGCAAGCCUGAUGGAGCAACACCGCGUGAGUGAAGAAGGGUUUCGGCUCGUAAAGCUCUGUUGUUAAAGAAGAACACGUAUGAGAGUAACUGUUCAUACGUUGACGGUAUUUAACCAGAAAGUCACGGCUAACUACGUGCCAG